rnacentral:rRNA from 1 species
GUGGGGAAUAUUGGACAAUGGACGCAAGUCUGAUCCAGCCAUGCCGCGUGAGUGAUGAAGGCCUUCGGGUUGUAAAGCUCUUUAGCCGAUGAUUAUAAUGACUGUAGUCGGAAAAUAAGCCCCGGCUAACUUCGUGCCAGCAGCCGCGGUAAUACGAAGGGGGCGAGCGUUAUUCGGAAUCACUGGGCGUAAAGCGUGCGUAGGCGGUUUUGUAAGUUGGGAGUGAAAGCCCAGGGCUCAACCCUGGAAUUGCUCUCAAAACUACAAGACUUGAAUUCGGGAGAGGAUAGCGGAAUUGUCAGUGUAGCAGUGAAAUGCGUAGAUAUUGACAGGAACACCAGUGGCGUAAGCGGCUAUCUGGACCGACAUUGACGCUGAGGCACGAAAGCGUGGGGAUCAAACAGGAUUAGAUACCCGUGUAGUCC